AUUGAACGCUGGCGGCAUGCCUAACACAUGCAAGUCGAACGGCAGCACGGGAGCAAUUCUUGCAUCGCGUGGCGGACGGGUGAGUAAUACCUAGGAAUGUGCCACAUCGUGGGGGAUAACGCCCCGAAAGCGGUGCUAAUACCGCAUCCGAUCUACGGCUGAAAGCGGGGGAUCGCAAGACCUUGCGCGCUUGGAGCGGCCGAUGUCCGAUUAGGUAGUUGGUGGGGUAAAGGCUCACCAAGGCUGCGAUCGGUAGCUGGUCUGAGAGGAUGACCAGCCACACUGGAACUGAGACACGGUCCAGACUCCUACGGGAGGCAGCAGUGGGGAAUAUUGGACAAUGGGCGAAAGCCUGAUCCAGCCAUGCCGCGUGUAGGAAGAAGGCCUUCGGGUUGUAAAGUGCUUUAAGACGGGAGGAAGCGGUGUUAGUUAAUACCGAAGGCUAUUGACGGUACCGGAAGAAUAAGCACCGGCUAACUACGUG
rnacentral:rRNA from 1 species